rnacentral:ribozyme from 1 species
UGCCCAGCAACUCCUAUCCCUACAUCCGCGUGGUACCGAGUGGAAACUACGAGCAACCUUUGGGAAGAAGGGGGCAACCAACCCCGGUGGGAACUUUGAUCCUAGGCUGACAGGGAAGG